GAAAGACAUGCAUUUAAGACGUGAAAAUUAUUUUUCUGCUUAAAAGUGCAAGUGAGUAGUUAAAGUUGGUGAUCAAACUAGUUGAUGAUCAGUGCAGAUGUGUGUUGAAAUGUUUGGCCAGAAAGAUGUUCCGCCCCUCUUCUGUUUUCUUUAUAAAGACCUAAAGUGCCAAUGACUGCAUUUCAUCAGACCAGCAUCUGUGCAAAGCUUACAAAAAUGAAAUCUUUGGCUCUGGUUUUGGUAUUUUGUGCCUUUGUCUCUUUAAGUGAUUCUGCCUGCUCCAUCACACCUCUAAACCAAGGGGCAAGAUUUUGUGUCGAUCGCUAUGAUAAAUCCAGGCAUCCAAUGGGAAGUACUUGGACAAACAGCAAAUGUAUCAGAUGUACCUGCUCCCCUGGGCAAAUGGGAUGCUGUGACGUGUUGGGCCGAGUGACUAGCCUAUCUCAAGGCUGCAUUGUGGAGUAUGAUUACAAAAAAUGCACAUUUGACGUGAUGGGCCGAGUGACUAACCUAUCUCAAGGCUGCAUUGUGAAGUAUGAUUACAAAAAAUGCACAUUUGACGUCUUUAAUCCAACUAACCCCAACAUUAAGUGUUCUUAUGGUGCUGUUGGAAAAUAAUUUUCAAUGAUUGAGUAAUGUGUCCUUUUUGGAUUAAAAUGAAUACCAAUCAAUUUUUGGAAAAAAACUAACAUAUUUUGCCAGUUUUACUCAAUAAAAUUGAGGCAACUCCUUGCA
ensembl:lncRNA